AAAUCCUGAAGAAGCAAGCAUUGUUUCCGCUGCUGUCAUCAGGGCCGUACAUAUCUCUGCCUGGAGCCAGGCCUGAUUCUGCCCUGCUGAUUGGAAUAUUGGACUUGGAGGUGUCCAUUCUGAUUCCGAAGUCUGUUCCUGUCUCCUGGCCUGUGCCAAACUCUCUUUCCUUAAAGGAUUGCUUUGGCCUUCCUGGAGUUUGUGGAGGAGAAGAAAGCAUCAGAGUGUCUAGCCAAUGCGAGCUGCCCACUGCCCAGGUGGAGAUUGAAGAGAAAAGAACCCUGUUACCUUCUCUAAAAAUCCCAGCUGCCCAGAACUCACCAUUAUCCAGUCACCAUGCACUUUCACAUCAUCUCUUCUGCCUUGUCCUGGGGCCCAAAGAACUGAAUCACAGUAUCACUAGGUGGGCGGGUGACGAAUGGGGUGUGUUUAGAAAUGUCAUCUGUCCGGGAGGAGAUUACAAAGGCCAAGUGGAUGAAAGCCACUUCCAUUCGUCUUAACAGUGAGUUCCUUUCCAGCUGUAAGAAAAUUAUGUCCAUGGAAGGACAUAAUUUGGAAUUGUGUGCUGGAAUGUUUUCCAUCUGCUCUGCUUCCUUCAGAAUCUUGCUACUCAAUGUGUGGUCCUUGGACCAGCAAUAUUAGCAUCACCUGGGAACUUGCUAGAAAUGCAGAAUCUCAGGCCGCACCUAGAUCUGCUGAAUCAGAAUCUACAAAAUCCCCAGUGAUUCACAAGCACAUUAAAGUGUGAGAAGACUGACCUACAGCGUACCCGGAGGCCACGGUAUUCCAUAGCGGGUGUGGCGUCUCUGUAAAUUCUGGGGUGUUCUGUCUAGUCCCAAAACGUCAGCUUCACACAGUCAAAUUCUGCUACACUUUAGGUGUUUAACAGAAAGCCCAUUAUUUGACAAUGUUGGGGCAUUAAACCGCCCUGACACUUCUUCAAGAUAUUCAGAGUUAACCAUAAAGCUCUAAUUGGUAGAAACCUGGACCCCAGACCAGGGUCUCUGUCAGGCUUUCAGAAAAUUCCUCAGAAUUAACCAGGCCAUGAUACCUGUGACCACCUAGGGUAGUGUGCAGACCAGGUGAAGACAAAAUGAAGUUUCUCAUAGGUUCUGCAGAAGGCUGCAGUCCAGGUGAGUUUUCUUAGUAAACUGCCUCAGAUGAUUCUGAGGAUUAGCAAGCUGCUUGGGGUGGGAGUGAGGGAGUCAUGUGACCUCUGGAGGGCUGCAGCCUGGACUCACUUGAGUGAUAUUCAUGAAGUCUGAAGAGGCCCCUGACUAAAGCGUGGUCAAUUCCAGAAAUCCUCCACAGAGCGGUAGGCCCAGCAAGGAUGGCCUGGGGCUGACUUCAGUCACACUCUGCUUUCUGUAAUUGGAAUAAGACACUGUUCCCAGGCCUUCCUGAGGUCAGAUGAGUUAUGGGUCAGAGCAGAGCAUGCUCUCAGGGAUGAUAGAAAUCGAGUCCACCAGGGAAAAGAGGCCAUGCUAUUCACUCAUGGAACUGUACAGAUUUCCAGGGUUUGUACCAAAGCUCAUCCCUGGUGGAUGAACAUCCAUAGGGCAAGACAGGGGGUGAGGCAGCCAGUGUGUUCACGGCCAGCUUAAUGUGGAGGAAUCUCCUGAGGGCCUACGUGGCAUUGUGUGGGGUCCAGAAUUCCACAGUUAGGGCUUGACAAUAAAGCCAGAAGUGGAACUCCAGAAACGUGUCGAGAACGAGUUCUUGUGCUGGAAAAGUUCCGAGAAACAGAACCAAGAGAGGCAAAGAAAUGAAACAUACUUUCAUAAACCUCAAUAAAGAUACAGAGUGGAAAUGGAAGAAAAUGAGGUCCAAGGAGAUAAAAAUGGGGCGAGACUGGAAUUAAAGACCUAUUCCAUCUAUAACCCAAUCUUACUCUGAGCUGACCUUGAUGUCUACAGAGCUUGUAUCAUUUACUUUCUUCUUCUAUCUUUUCGCUGGUGUGCAGGAAAUGAUUCCUAGACUCUAUUCUUCCUGCUUAGGUCCUAAUAGAAGCCUUUCUUCCUCUGUAUCCAACCACAUUGGCUUUUCCUAACAGAAUCUGAAGGGGCCAACAGUCCCUAGUGUGCAAGCAUCGACCCAUGAAGUAUCUAGCCAGAAAUUAUUCCCAGACCGAUGUGAACAAUGUGUGCCUUUAACUAUAUAUGUACAUAGAUAUAUAUAUGAAUAUGUACAUUAUAUAUAAGGUUUCAUAGCAGGUUUAAUAAUAUUUCCAUAUUUAUAGUAUUUCUUAAUUUUGUGGUAACAGUUUAAUAAUUAUAUAUCAUUUGUAAUUAAACUGUUACCACAAAAAUUACCCAUAACCCCUUCACCUAAAAGCAACUAUUUUUGUCUCUCUAUCAUUCCUGCGUGCCUUAAAAUGACAAAUAAACACAGCUGAAUAUAACCCAUGUUGUCCAAGCCCACACCUGUCUAAAAUAAAGGAGUCACAGUAAUGGUAAAAAUGGCAUUUCUCUAGCGCUGCUGUCACCUUCAGUUUUGAAAUCUGACCACUUUCAAAUUCUACCCAAGUAUUUGUGGGAGUCCCUAAGCAGCAGCGGGGAUGGGGACCAUCUCUUGUGUUUGCCCUGUUCUGGAAGCUCUGCUGUUAUCCCCUGCAUGUCUCUACACCCAAAAUGUGACUCCUUCCCCAACAUCUCCACCCCAGCGGUAACUGCUGAAGCCACUCAGCCCGUUAUAGAUUUGCAGUCAUUUCAAAGGUCCUCCCCUUCCCUUUAUUCCUGCACGGGGCUCUCAAUGUCUGACAAGCCUCUGGUUCUCCAGCGUGAGCCCUGCGUGCUGGGCCAACUGACAGGCUGAGUGAGUGACGAGGUGGUGCACUUAGAAUCAUACAGUGGGACACACUCCGGGCAGACCCAUGGUUGUGUAAUCGCCAGUGCUGUAGCAGUGGUGCCCCAUCCAGAAAGCCCAUCAGGACUCAGGGGAUGGAGGGUGGUGUUAACAAGGGGGAGAAUCUUCAAAUUGCUUAAGUUAAAAUUUAAAUUUAAAAUUUACCAUCUCCUGCUUUAAUGAUUAGUGGUAACAAAUGAUGACACACCUCACAACCUGACAUCAUUAAGAACUGGAAAGCCGGAUGUUUUUUGCUAUAGGAAUUCAAGGAUUGACUCAACGGGGCUGAGAGUCAGAGAAGUCUUCACACAGAACAUGAGACAUGAACCUGAGCCCGUUUUUAGAGAUAAGUGAAACUGAUAUGGUAGGACGAGCUGGAGAAGGCUUUUUAGGUAGAGAGGAUGGUUUGAGCAUAGGCAGAGAGGCAGGAAAGCACAAGGCUUGUUCAGUGACCUGUUUGGCUUUAACCACCGGUUAUUUAAGAAAGUGGGAGACGCAGCUGGAAAAAAAUUUGGGGCUGCCACACUGAUGAGAAAUCUUAAUGCCAGCUCAAAAGUCUGGAAUUUUCCUAAAGGCACAGGGAGAUAUUGAAAGAUUCUGUGCACAUCAAUGACAUGAUGAAAUUGGCAUUUUAGAGAAAAUUGUUCUGGUACUUGUGUUCAGAAAGUAUAGGAAAGAAAAUGUGAAAGAGAUAAAGACAAAUGCAUUUAAUUGUACCCAGUCUUUGGAUUUCUUUGAAUCUUGCUCUAAAUUGCUUGUUUAAAUAUACUUAUCGCUAAUUCUAGUAAACGUAUUGAGUACAUAUUAUUCUUGACAAUUUAAAAAUUUCUAUUUUUGAUGGCAAAAAAAUAUCACUGAGUGGAGAGCACUCUUUGUGACUCCAUUAACCAUGCUUGUCUGAAGCUCAGCUGGGCAAAACAUCAGACUAUGUCUAAUUUACUAGACUGUUAGACUAUGUCUAAUUCAUUAUAUAUAAUUUACUGUUGGUACAUUAGAAGAAAUAGCUCCUAGUGACAACAAAUUCAUCAGAGAGAUUGAAAAAUGGCACAUAUUCUGAAUUAAACUUUUGGUUAGAAAACCAGAAAAAUGUGAGAUAAAUGUCUUUCAAAUAUGAAAGGUACAUAAAAUAAGACGACUUCACAAAAAUUGUUUUUUCCUCAAAUGUGUCUAAUAUCUAUGCAUUUAUUUUUCCUAUUUAAAAAAAUAAUGAUCUUUUUUAAAGUACUUACAUUCAUGUUAGACUUAUUUCUCUUUGGGUUGUUUUGCUUUGGUAUGGGUUGGGUUUCUUGUUUUGUUUUGCUUUGUUAUUCUUUAAAAGAUAUUAUAAGAGUAAAAUUUUUCAUUUUUAUUUUGACUUUCUAUAUUUGUAGAGCUCCCCACCUAAGAGUCUUGAUGGGAGCGUAUCUUCUCUUCCACUGUAGGAGCUGGAAGCUCAGACUCUCACUGUCCCAGCUCCUUUGUCCUUCGGCGUGGGAAAACAUCCUAAGCUCGGUCAGACAGACAUGAACUCCCUGGACUUUGAAGCAGGGGCUAUUGCCACAAAGUAGCAAGUAUGCAUGUUGGUGACAGGUGGAGGCAGAAGAGCUUCCAGGUCAAGCAGCGGUGGUUUACAGCAUUUAAGGCUGGGCCGCACUGUGAGCUGUGGUGGCCAGGGGUUAGUGGCAGUGGUGGCCAGGGGUUAGUGGCGGCAAACAGCAGUGUCCUCUCCAGACUAGUUCCAGGCGUGGUUUGAGGCCCCCGGGUUACUGCCUUCCUUUGAAACCUGGUUUAGCAGACUGCCAGGUGGUUUUGUAGUUCCCAAUAUCCUUUCAAUAAAUUCCUUUUCCACUUAAAUCAGCCUUGGUCAGCUUCUAUUGCUUGUAAGAACCUUGGCUGAUAUCAUAAGUCCACUGUUUAAAUAAAAAAGAAUGGAUAUAUAUAUAUAUAGACAAAGCAAAAAAUAAGAUCACUCAUAAUCUCCUUUUUGAUAACAUCCUUUAACUUUUUGUUUAGACUUUCAGAAUUUGUUUUGUACAUCUGUAUACAUUAAGACACAGCACACACACCCACACAAUUAGGAUGCUUUUUGAUGCAAGUAACAGAAAACUCAACUUGAAUUGUCUCUAACACAGCUGCUAUUCUGGGCAUCUUGACCUUUAACCUUACAGAGGCCUCAUAAACUGAAGAGUACAGACUGACCUCCUAGCCACCCUUAAUGAUCCUGGCUUGCCUGAUCCUAUUUUGAGUCUACUAACAUCAUUUCAUAGAGCCAGGAGGUUCUGCUCUCUGCUAACCACAGAGACUGCUUCCUGACUGAAUGUGGUACCAGCAGCUGCCUGCCAAAGCUCCAGGCUUUGUGGACCAGCAGAGGCCCACCCCUAAGAGGGCUCUGAGGACCUCCAGAAGAGAUCUCCCGUGACAAAUGUUUCCUGGACCCAUGAUCUGUAUCUAUGAUACCUACUCAGGUUCUCCUCCUUGAUCUCUUUGCAACCCUUCCUGCUCAGACCCAAGAGUUUCCCUUGGAGCCGGAUUCCCAUGCUUGUCCUUUCUUGGGCCUGACAUCUUCCAUGGUUGUCUUGAAUUCUGGCUUCGGACCACCCUAAAUUCCACCCUUUCCUCAUGGAAUUUCCUACCUUUAAUUGUUCCAUUGCCUUACCUCAGCCAGUUCCUGAUUUGUGAUUUGGUGUUUUGGUCCCAAUGCUGGAUCCUGGUCAGAAUCCUUGGUCUCUGAGCCUGGUGCCAAGAAUUGGAUCAAAGUACCAUUUCUCCUAGUACCAAUCAGUACACUGUAAUUCUGGCAAUCCUGGAAAAGGAAAGUAGCAGAAAAACCAUCAAAAUCUGAGUACUAUGUCAACAGAGGCAAUCUGGGAAAAUUAUGGGCCAAUUUUUGUUUUCUUCCUUGGAGUUGUCUGUACUAAAAAUUUAUAUUUUUUAAACAGUGUGAUAACUGUGACCAAAUGUAAUCCAUUGACAGCUAGUAGGGUUUAUCCAUAUUAAUAAGUCCAUAUUAGCAUAAUGACUUUUAAAGUAUAUUUUAAACCCAACUGACCAUUUUUUUCCACUUUUAAGGAGUGGCAUAAAUUAUUCCAACUGAUCUAGGAAGGAUAGAAAGAAAGUUUGAAAGGUCAAAAUAUCCACCAGUUAUUGGGUGUUGAUAAUUGCAGAAAGGGCCCCUUUGUUUUAACUUUCAGGGGGUUGUAAUAAGUCUAAAUAAGCACCAAUAUCUGUCCUAUCCUUAGGCUGAGAGUCCUUGACCUUGGGUUAGGGAACCAAAAGGAGUAGAAGGAGGGAUGCAGGAUAAGCAAUAUCUAAUGUCUAUGAAACCUCCAUUUCAUCCUAAGUCUUCAGUGGACUCUACCACCUACUCAAAUGUGUCAUGUGAGAUUGGAGAGGAGGGAGAAAGAAGGAGGACAUCACCAAGAAAACAAACAAGCAGAAGAAGAGCUGAGCUCCAUCUUGAGUCGGACAGAACACAGGGAAGAAAGAGCUGCCAAAGAAUGAUCUCUUCACAGGUCCUGAGUCAAAUGCCAAGGAGAGGAGAUAGGCUCUCUGCUGGGUUUAAUGUGGGAGACAAGGAGUCUUCUCGAUUGUUUCCUUUGCAGGUCCCUCUAGUUGUGGGAUGUGGGACGCUGCUCCAAUGUGACCUGAUGAGCGGUGCCAUGUCCGUGCCCAGGAUCUGACCCCUGCGCCGCCACAGCGGAGCGCACGAACGUAACCACUCAGCCGUGGAGUCGGCCCCACAACCGGAAUUUCUUCUAGCAAGCUUUAUGAAUCCUAACAGGUAGUGUAUGACAGCUUCUCAAAAUAGCAGUCUACAUUUUCUGCUUUGACUUCAUUGCUACAAAUUACUCCUUAAUAUUUAACUACUUGCAACUUGGCUCCAACUUCAUUGGAAUUAUUUUCUCCAAGGUCACCAAACUACCUCUUUAUUGAUAGACUCAGUAACAUCUUAAGAAUUUUUGUCCUCCAGGAGCUUUCUGCUGCAUUUGAUGUGACUGAUUUUAUCUUCUUCUUUGUGCAAUAAUGUCCAGCUUUGGCUGACCCAACAUUAUGCUCAUUAGGUUUUCCUCAUACCCUCUUUUUUUCUUUUUUUUGAGGAAGAUUAGCCCUGAGCUAACUGCUGCCCAUCCUCUCUUUUUGCUGAGGCAGACUGGCCCUGAGCUAACAUCCAUGCCCAUCUUCCUCUACUUUUUUUUAAUACGUGGGACGCCUACCACAGCAUGGUGUGCCAAGCGGUGCCAUGUCCAUACCCGGGAUCCGAACCGGUGAACCCCAGGCUCCAGAGAAGCAGAACGUGCAAACUUAACCACUGCGCCACCUGGCUGGCCCCUCCUCAUACCGUCUGAGCACUCUUCUUUCUCCUUCUGGGAGAUUCUUCCUCCAAAUACCCAUCAUAUGUGGCCCUUGUUAAAGGUUUUGUUCUUAGCCAUGUCUCUUUUUUACUUUAGGUGAACUUGAACAUUCUCAUUCUCUAGGGAAAGCUUCUAGCAUCUCUGAGGAUGAUUCACAAAUCUACAUUUCAGCUUUGUGCUCCAAAGCCAAAUGUCCAACUGCUUCUAAAUAUCCUUAGGCGUUCACAUUCAACAUGUCCCAAACCAAAUACUUCAUUAUCACCUUAAAGUCUGCCCCUGAAUUUCCUAAUUCUGAUAACGGACCCACCAUUCUCUCAGUCAUCCAGACUAGAAAUCCUGCUAUCUUUGACUUUUCCCAAUAUGGUUCUAUAUAGUAACUAGAAAAAAAAUAUGUAAAAGCUUAAGAAGAGUUGUAUGCUUGCUUUGGAGACAGUGAAGUAGGGAGAAACUGGGAAUUCACUCCUAAUUCAUAAGUGGUCUGGAGGGUGAGGCAGCCACUGAGAGAGCGUGCUGGCAGUCACUACAUCAGUGAAUUGCAAGUUCUGUUGGUAAUGCCUCCAAUAUGUUUCUCUUUCUGUCUCUUCCUUUCCGGCCACACUGCACUAGUUUAGUACCUUGUGUCGUUUGUCCUGGAUUAUUGUAAUAGCCUCCUAGAUGUAAGGCCGUGGGCUGGAUUCUCAACAUCUUCCUGCACAAGUCAGGACAAGAGAGAUGCGAGCAAGCAGUAAAACUUAGCCGCGGGUAGAGAGAGUGGGAAGGAGGGUGGUUAGCUGACGAUUAGAGAAACAUAAGGCAACAGUGUGCAGUGGACCUCAACAAAGUUGGUGCUGUCUUGGGUCACAGUUUCAGACCUAGAAUGAGAAAGGUGAUCAGACCUCUCUAGUUGGAGGGUGUCACAAAGUUGGAUCACUGCCUUCUGUUCUUGCAACAACACAUGAAAAGAAAUAGAGACAAGGGGCUGGCCAAGUGGCGCAGAGGUUAAGUUCCUGCAUUCCACUUUGGCGGUCUGGGGUUUGCAGGUUCGGAUCCCGGGUGUGGACCUACACACCACUUGUCAAGCCAUGCUGUGGCAGGCGUCCCACAUAUAAAGUAGAGGAAGAUGGGCACGGAUGUUAGCUCAGGGCCAAUCUUCCUCAGCAAAAAGAGGGGAUUGGCAGCGGAUGUUAGCUCAGGGCUAAUCUUCCUAAAAAAAAAAGAGACAAUAUGGAGUUUAUUUGAGAGAGUCAUCAGGGUAAUGAAGGGCCCUAAAGUUAUAUCUCAUGAAGAAUGUUGACUAACUGGAGAUAUUUAACUUGGAGAAAAUACAACAGAGAGAUUAUGGUUGGCUUCAUAUAUAUAAAAAACUAUCUUGUGGAAAUCACCUAAGAACUUUAUAAAUGUCAGUGUUGUCCUGAGAUGGAAUGCAUUCAUUUCAACAGAUAUUUGUUGUAUGCCUGCUCUGUGCCAGGCACUGAGGAUAUGUGAUAAGCAAGACAGUCCCUAUCAUCAUCGAACUUGAUUUCUGAUCUGACAGACAACAAGCGAAUGAACAAAUACGUAAAUGAGUAAUAUAAAUUCCAGAAAGUGAUGGGAUCAGAUGCUAGGAGUAUGUGAGCCUAGAUUUUGGGACCACUUGGCAGGAAGGUUUUAGAAGAGAUUUAAGCAUUAGAUGGAUUAUUGGAUCAGAUGACCUUAGGGGACCCUUCAACCCCAAGAAUUUAUGAUUCUGCUUUUCUACUAUUAUCUACCAAAUUAGGACUUCCUCUCAGAUACCCUAAGGCUUAGAAACCCCCAACUCCUUGCUAUUCCAGGAACAAGCCCUGUACUGCGGUUAGUGAGUCAGCAAUGACUCAGUGUGAGUAUUUGCCCAUGUGGUUCAUUUGCCUGGAAUGCCUUUCUCUAACUUCUCUGCCUCUCAAAAUCCUCCUUGUCCAACAAGGCUUAACCCAAAGAUAAACUUUUUAAUCAAGAUUUCUGGGUACCCUGAAAUAUGUUGUUCCCCACUCUGGCCCAGCAACACUCAGCUUGUAACACUAUUAAAGCCCUCACUGUGUUUUACUUGUAUUGGAGUUCACUAUUUCUCAGUCUGCUUCCCUACUAGCUUCUGAUUUUCUUGAGGGCAGGGACCAAAUCUUCCUUCUUUUAUAAUGGUCCAUAGUGCGAAUCUCCUAGUCAUUGCUUUGCACUCAGAAGAUAUUCAACAAAUAAAUGAAUGUGACUCCAGGCAAUAAAUACGUUCAUUAUUAUCUGAAGUGAAUUAGACAUGACCAUUGCUUUAAGUAGGAAAAGGAAUAACCUAUUGGUUUAACCAAGAAUCUUCUCUCCCAAUCUCUGCUAUAUCCCUCUCUGCUUACUAGCUAUGUAGCCCUGAGCACAUUGCCUAACAUCUUAAUGCCUCAGUUUCUUCGUGUAUACAAUGGCAAUAAUAAUAGUACCUACUUCAUAAGAUUUUUGCAAGGAUGAACAAUCCCCAUCAAGAGGCUAGGUCAGCACCUACCACAUAAUUAGCCCUCACUAAAUAUUAGCAAUUAUUAUUAUAAUGAUGAUUAGGCAUUCCUGCCCUCCAGUAGCUUUAAAAGUAUGGUUUCAUAGGAAGAAACAAGAAUUUUUGAACAGAAAUUACAAAAGAACGCAGAUGACUGAUUUUAUAUUAGGUAAAGCUUCCAUCAUCCCUAUUAGGCAAAGACAAUUUGACAUAUAAAAUUAAGAGGGAAGCCCCUACUUGUGUUGACUUGGAAAAUAGUGUAAUAGAAGAACUAACUAUAGUUACCAGCAAGAGCCCCUGUAGGGGAUGGGCCUUAGAGACAACCUCCCCUCUAUGGAAGAGAAAGAGAUGGUUCAGAGAGGUUCAGUGGUUUGCUCAAGGUCACACAGCUGACUGUCAGAAUGGGGAGACUAACGUUAACCUUCCAGGUCUGCCUGGCUCCUUAGCCCCUGCUCUUUCCACUGCACCCUGCUGCCUUCCAGUUGCAUGGCUGAAGACACCACAGAUUGGAGAUGCAGUUAGUCCAAAGCCUCACAGGCCCCAAUUCUUCAUUGCUAGCACUGUAUGGGCAGCAAGCCUGAUUUCAGACUCUUGGGGCUGAGGCUGCUGAUUCUCUUCCGGGCGUAGGGAGAACUGACUCACAGGCUCAGGCAGGCUGGGCCCUGCAGGGGGAGGUUCUCUGGGGCUCCAUCUCUGAAGGCUGGGGACAUGGCAGAGGUAAAAGAUCUGAGGUCUGUCUGACGUGCAUUUAACCCAGGAGAGGGAAGAGAGCAUGACAUGGUUCUGUAUCUAAUGUGUCCAGAAGACAAUCCCUGGAAUGGACCAAGACGUACCCAAAAUGCCAAAGCCGAGGAAAAGGAUGUGUGACUUAUGCUUGGAGCAAGAAGCAACAAUCAGAAAGGAUAGACCUCAUGGCCUUGCUCUUUGAGAAGUGGGUGUAAUGUUAACGAAAAAUUGAAAGGAGUUAGAGUUACUCUGAUCCCAAGCAAGGGAACGGUGUUCAACAGCUGAGGUUAGAAUAAACAGAGAGGAGGAACUGAAGCCCACCCGAGAGGGGAGGUGGUACAAGCACAUCUUGCAGGUUUUUUUGAGUCUUGGGCUUAAAAGAAUUAUAUGCCAAGAGACUGAUUGGCUAACAUUGACCUUUAUAUUAUUAAUACAUUAUAUUUAGAUAGACCUUUUCACUUAUAAACACUUCUCGUUUCAUAGUCAACAAAUUCAAUUUAAUAAACGUUUAUUAAGUUUUUGCUUAUGCAAAGCGCAAUCACUGUUCUCCACUCAAAUUGGAUGACACGAUCUGUGAAGUCUUCCCCAAAUAUAGAUCCAGUGCACCCUGCUUCUUGUCCUGGGUCACAAAGGGCUCUUGGUGCACCUCUGCCACGUGCCAGGAAAGAGGGAGGCCUUGGACGAAAUGCAGCAUCUUCCUGAAGAGUCAAUUACUUGAGGAUUUGUCUGGAUGCUUGUAGGGGUAGGGGUGGGGGGUGCAUUUCUGUAUUGAGGCAAACAACCAUUUUCCAUUUUGUGGAGUACAGGGCAAAGUCUGCUCCUUUGAGCUUUGUUAUGGGAAGAUCCCAGUGUAAUAGGGAUGUUUCUUUAGUGGUGAAGUCUGAAAAGUAUUAAAUCUUAACCUGGACACUUAGACUAAUGAACUUACUUGUAGGCAUAUUAAAACUUCAUUGAUUUAGGCUCCAUUUAUUUGGAAUUUUUAAUAAUUUGCAUAAGUACUAUAGUCUAUGUAAACGUGAAAACAAUGAUGAGAGCUAUUUUAUUUUUUUAAGUUCCAUGGUGAUGAUUUAAAUAUUAAAGAAAAUUUAUUUAAAAAACACCCUCAGAUUAUAAUGAGUAAUUUGCAUUCAAAUACUUAAUACACGAAUUGUAAGUAUUCUUAUCUACUCAUCAAAGCAGAUUCGGAAAGUUGAUCAGUCUCACUUUGAAUUACAUUAUGUAUUUGAACAUUUACAAAACUUCCUUUGAUUUUCUUUAACAAUAUUCUUAUAAUCAAGGGUUUUCCUUCACUUUUUUCCUCUUCCUGCCAUUCGUGAUAAUCAGUAAGGUUUAAAUCACUAACCACCUCCCAUUUUCUACCACAUAAACCUUCUAAAGAGGGUGUGGUUUCCUAGCUUCCAGUUGGACAAGUUGUAACAGGGUCAUUGUACUGACGUUCCCCAAUACGGUUACCCUUAUGACCUUGUUAACUUCAAUUCAGAGGAAAAACUCAGCAAACAAUAAUAACCCAAUGGGCCAUUCCCCAGAGUAACCCUGACACACCUGUUAAUCAUUUCUUGCCCUGAACCAUUCAUUCUAUUUAGAUAGAAGAAAUUGUCACAAAUUUCCCUUCCAAAGCCAGGAGAACAAAAGUUUCCAG
rnacentral:lncRNA from 1 species